rnacentral:rRNA from 1 species
AACAUGCAGUCGAGCGGCAGCAUAGGAGCUUGCUCCUGAUGGCGAGUGGCGAACGGGUGAGUAAUAUAUCGGAACGUGCCCUACAGUGGGGGAUAACUAGUCGAAAGACUAGCUAAUACCGCAUACGAUCUACGGAUGAAAGUGGGGGAUCGCAAGACCUCAUGCUCCUGGAGCGGCCGAUAUCUGAUUAGCUAGUUGGUGGGGUAAAAGCCUACCAAGGCAACGAUCAGUAGCUGGUCUGAGAGGACGACCAGCCACACUGGGACUGAGACACGGCCCAGACUCCUACGGGAGGCAGCAGUGGGGAAUUUUGGACAAUGGGGGCAACCCUGAUCCAGCAAUGCCGCGUGAGUGAAGAAGGCCUUCGGGUUGUAAAGCUCUUUUGUCAGGGAAGAAACGGUAGUAGCGAAUAACUAUUACUAAUGACGGUACCUGAAGAAUAAGCACCGGCUAACUACGUGCCAGCAGCCGCGGUAAUACGUAGGGUGCAAGCGUUAAUCGGAAUUACUGGGCGUAAAGCGUGCGCAGGCGGUUGUGUAAGUCAGAUGUGAAAUCCCCGGGCUCAACCUGGGAAUUGCAUUUGAGACUGCACGGCUAGAGUGUGUCAGAGGGAGGGUAGAAUUCCACGUGUAGCAGUGAAAUGCGUAGAUAUGUGGAGGAAUACCGAUGGCGAAGGCAGCCCCCUGGGAUAACACUGACGCUC